rnacentral:rRNA from 1 species
AUUGAACGCUGGCGGCAUGCUUUACACAUGCAAGUCGAGCGGCAGCGCGGGGGCAACCCUGGCGGCGAGCGGCGAACGGGUGAGUAAUGCAUCGGAACGUGUCCUCGAGUGGGGGAUAACCCAGCGAAAGUUGGGCUAAUACCGCAUGAGCUCUGAGGAGGAAAGCGGGGGACCUGCGAGGGCCUCGCGCUGGAGGAGCGGCCGAUGUCCGAUUAGCUAGUUGGUGGGGUAAAGGCUUACCAAGGCGACGAUCGGUAGCUGGUCUGAGAGGAUGAUCAGCCACACUGGGACUGAGACACGGCCCAGACUCCUACGGGAGGCAGCAGUGGGGAAUUUUGGACAAUGGGGGCAACCCUGAUCCAGCCAUGCCGCGUGAGUGAAGAAGGCCUUCGGGUUGUAAAGCUCUUUCGGACGGAACGAAAUGGGCGGGACUAAUACUCCUGUCUGAUGACGGUACCGUAAGAAGAAGCACCGGCUAACUACGUG